GUCCUAUUGUGUUAUUUAAUAGGUCUGGCCUGCCCAGUGAUAAUUUCAACGGCCGCGGUAUAUUGACCGUGCAAAGGUAGCAUAAUCAUUAGUCUUUUAAUAGGAGGCUGGAAUGAAAGGUUUAACGAGAAAUUAACUGUCUCAAUUACAAUUUUGAAUUUAUCUUUUAAGUCAAAAGACUUAAAUAUAAUUGGAGGACGAGAAGACCCUAUAGAGCUUUACAAUUACUUUUUUUAUAAUUAUUUAGUUUGAAAUUAUUUGUUUAUACUAAAAGAAUUGUUUUGUUGGGGUGACAAUAAAUUAAAUUUAACUUUUAUCAUAAUAUUUACAUUAAUUUAUGAUUUUUGGAUCCAAAAAUUUUGAUCAUUAGACUAAGUUACC
rnacentral:rRNA from 1 species